UACGGAGGGUGCAAGCGUUAUCCGGAUUCACUGGGUUUAAAGGGUGCGUAGGCGGGCAGGUAAGUCAGUGGUGAAAUCCCCGAGCUUAACUUGGGAACUGCCGUUGAUACUAUCUGUCUUGAAUACUGUGGAGGUAAGCGGAAUAUGUCAUGUAGCGGUGAAAUGCUUAGAUAUGACAUAGAACACCUAUUGCGAAGGCAGCUCACAAAACUGUAACUGACGCUGAGGCACGAAAGCGUGGGUAUCAAACAGG
rnacentral:rRNA from 1 species